UAUACAUACAGGUAAAACACCUGUACGCAUAAAAAAAAUUUGAAAAAAAUACUACCUUUUUUUAAAGUUACCAAAACAACAACAAAAACACAACCAACCCAACAUUGGAUCAAACUAAACAUACUUGGGGUCAAUUUGCGACCAUCUCAUUAGAUGGGCAAAAGUGAGAUCAGAAUGUAACAGUGUGCAGAGUAUAUUAACUUACAGGUCCUGCCACUAUUUGUAUGCAUUAUCUAAAACAACAACAACAAAAGUAAUUCCAAACCAGCACUUGAGAGGCUGUAGGGGGAGGAUCAUAACAUACUACUGCAUAGGCAGGUAAGCAGCAUGCCUGGCCUACUCAGCAAGACCUUGUCUCAAAAGAAAGGGUGUGGAUAUUGUGGAAGCUUGUGGACUGAGCAGUGUUCCAUGGUGAGUGUGCAAAACACGAGAGUUCUGUCUGACUUGCUAGUUAAGCUAUUUAUAUCAUUUAUCAAAGACAAAUUUUUCCCAGAAUUAAAAUCCUUUUGAUAGCUUUUUUAUGGAGCCAGGUCUUGUGGUGCGACUCUACAACACUGGCUGGCUUAGAGUUUGCUCAGUAAGGCCUUGGAUUCUCGGCAGUUGGCAGGGAUUAAAACCAUGUGCAGCUCAUUUUUUUGGUAAAGAAUAAUCUUCAUUGUAAGGCACACUACGUGUUAAUACAUCAAGGAGUAGAGCAUUACUGUUGGACCCUAACCAUCAAAUCGGAGACUGACUACUUGUCAUACACAGUAGAGUUUCUCCUUUGCUCUGAGCAAUGCGACACACGUUAUUUCAUUAAGCAAAACUAGUAAAUAAUCCCAGAUUGUCAAAAUUAAUACUUUUGUGUAACUUAUUGUCAAGCCUCUUAAUAAUAAUAUAGUUUCCUCUGUGUAAGUUUCCUAGGGGAGACACUAAGUGCUUCUGCCUUCAGCGGUGACUGCCCAACGUGAGUUAGUUUUGGUGGGGGAGAUGUGUCUUGACCUGACACAUCCUCCAAAAUGGCUGGUGUCAAAGGCUUGACCCUGAUGAUGGUGUUGAAAAGUGGAUCACUGGUAACUUCUUCAUCAGUGGAUGUUGAUGGCUGAAUAGAGUGUUGGGGGAGGGAUGGUUGGAGGAAGUUAUGUCACUGGGAAAUGUAUUUUGGAAGAGUGUGUCUUGUCUUUGGAUCUUCCUCUCUGGCUCUUCUGCUUCCAGCUGCCAUGAGGUGAACAACUUUACUCUGGCACGCCUUCCCUUUCCACCACCGUGUUCUGCUUCAACACAAGCCCACAGCGAUGGGGCAUCUGUGGAUGGAAACCUGAAACCAUGAGCCCAAAGAAGUCUUUUUCUCAGGGACACCAAUCCCACUGAAGACCACACUUCUAGUUUUAAUUCUUUAUUAAACCAAUAUUUCUGUAAUAAACAUCAACAGCUACUUGAACAGACUCAUUGCUAUCUUGAUUAUGUCCACAAAUUGGGGAUAUUUUGCUUACUCUUACUGGUGCCUAAAACCAGCCUUGCCGGGACCUCUUGGCACCUCAUAAUUCCAGCUGAUGUUGGGACCUAAAGUUUGCUGUCAAUGAGACCAGGCCUGGUCUUGACAGUGAAGCCACCAUCAAAAGCUGCAUUUAGAACUUCAUCCAGGCAGCUUG